AUUGAACGCUGGCGGCAGGCCUAACACAUGCAAGUCGAACGAGUGGCGGACGGGUGAGUAAUGUAUGGGGAACUGCCCGAUAGAGGGGGAUAACUACUGGAAACGGUGGCUAAUACCGCAUACUAUCGGAUGAACCCAUAUGGGAUUAGCUAGUAGGUGGGGUAACGGCUCACCUAGGCGACGAUCGCUAGCUGGUCUGAGAGGAUGACCAGCCAAACUGGGACUGAGACACGGCCCAGACGCCUACGGGAGGCAGCAGUGGGGAAUAUUGCACAAUGGGCGCAAGCCUGAUGCAGCCAUGCCGCGUGUAUGAAGAAGGCCUUAGGGUUGUAAAGUACUUUCAGCGGGGAGGCGUUACCCGCAGAAGAAGCACCGGCUAACUCCGUGCCAGCAGCCGCGGUAAUUC
rnacentral:rRNA from 1 species